rnacentral:sRNA from 1 species
AUUUCCAGAUCGCUUAAUCUCCAUUCGGAGAGCGGGGGAACCGAUACAGCGCUACGCUAACCCACAGCGGACACGUUGUAAUUGAAUUCUUCUUGGGGUGAAUUAUCGUGACGACCCACAACUAGGGUCCGAGCGAAAUAGGGCAACUCUCAUGCCCGAACCCGACAGCUAACCUCGUAAGCGUACAUAGAGAGGUCGU